GAUGAACGCUGGCGGCGUGCCUAAUACAUGCAAGUCGAGCGAACGGACGAGAAGCUUGCUUCUCUGAUGUUAGCGGCGGACGGGUGAGUAACACGUGGAUAACCUACCUAUAAGACUGGGAUAACUUCGGGAAACCGGGGCUAAUACCGGAUAAUAUUUUGAACCGCAUGGUUCAAAAGUGAAAGACGGUCUUGCUGUCACUUAUAGAUGGAUCCGCGCUGCAUUAGCUAGUUGGUAAGGUAACGGCUUACCAAGGCAACGAUGCAUAGCCGACCUGAGAGGGUGAUCGGCCACACUGAAACUGGGACACGGUCCAGACUCCUACGGGAGGCAGCAGUAGGGAAUCUUCCGCAAUGGGCGAAAGCCUGACGGAGCAACGCCGCGUGAGUGAUGAAGGUCUUCGGAUCGUAAAACGCUGUUAUUAGGGAAGAACAUAUGUGUAAGUAACUGUGCACAUCUGGACGGUACCUAAGCAGAAAGCCACGGCUAACUACGU
rnacentral:rRNA from 1 species